UACGGGGGGGGCAAGCGUUGUUCGGAAUUACUGGGCGUAAAGGGCUCGUAGGCGGCCAACUAAGUCAGACGUGAAAUCCCUCGGCUUAACCGGGGAACUGCGUCUGAUACUGUCGGGCUCGAGUCCGGAAGAGGCGAGUGGAAUUCCUGGUGUAGCGGUGAAAUGCGCAGAUAUCAGGAGGAACACCAAUGGCGAAGGCAGCUCGCUGGGACGUGACUGACGCUGAGACGCGAAAGCGUGGGGAGCAAACAGG
rnacentral:rRNA from 1 species